UCCAGGUGCAGUGGUGCGUGCCUCUCUAGUCCCAGCUACUCGGGAGGCUGAGGUGAGAGGAUCACUUGAGCCCAGGAGUUCUGGGCUGUAGUGCGCUAUGCCGAUCAGGUGUCCGCACUAAGUUCGGCAUCAAUAUGGUGACCUCCUGGGGGUGGGGGACCACCAGGUUGCCUAAGGAGGGGUGAACGGGCCCAGGUCAGAAAUAGAACAGGUCAAAACUCCCGUGCUGAUCAGUAGUGUGAUUGCGCCUGUGAAUAGCCACUGCACUCCAGCCUGGGUGACAAAGCGAGACCCUGUCUCU
rnacentral:SRP_RNA from 1 species